rnacentral:rRNA from 1 species
UACGUAGGGGGCAAGCGUUGUCCGGAGUUACUGGGCGUAAAGCGCACGCAGGCGGUCGAUUAAGUUUGGAGUGACAGUUGGUGGCUUAACUGCCAAAGUGCUUUGAAAACUGAUCGACUUGAGGGCUUCAGAGGGACACGGAAUUCCGGGUGGAGUGGUGAAAUGCGUAGAGAUCCGGAGGAACACCGAAGGCGAAGGCAGUGUCCUGGGGAGUACCUGACGCUCGAGGUGCGAAAGCCAGGGGAGCGAACGG